rnacentral:lncRNA from 1 species
AUUGAUUGUCCAGUUGAAAAUAUAUAUAUCUUAUCAUUGCAAAGCUGAUGUUAAGUUAGAAAUAUAUAUAUCGUAUCAUUGCGAUGCUGACCUACAAUAAAACAAACUUAUCUUCUAAAUUUUAUGAGACAUUAACAAAAAGCACCUGAAGUAUAUUCAGAGAUAUUUUUUUUGUAAGUACAUUUUGGUAGAUCAGUAUUAUUAUGGUAAUUCUGUCAAAUUCUUUCGGCUAUGUAUAGAUUUGAUAUAAGAACUUUAUGAUUUAAAUUAGAAAUAUGUUUUUGUUAAUACGAAUUAAAAGUUAACGUAGUUUAGACAGUAUUAGCGAAUUUGAUGCGCAUUGUAAUUCGAAUUAGAAUUGACGUUAAGAUGUAAAACGUUUCGAAUGCGAAUUAAACUAAUUGGAAUCAGUUAAUGGGAAUCGAAUUCGAAUUACGUGUGAACUCAGCAUUAGAGUAUGCAAACAAAAAGUUGAAGAAGUUAUUUUGUAAAAGUGAAAUAAAAUGUAUUUGUUUCUUUUUAUUAUAAGUGGCAGUAAAAACAAGAAAAAAUAAUUAAUACCUGUCAAAAGGAUAUUUCAUUUAUUGGUUUUGUAAACUUGCUAUAUUUUAAAAUUAUUUAUAUCAGAAAAGAAUGCUGGUUGCCUUGUUAUUACAUUUCACUCUCAAGGUUUAUAUUUUCUGUCAGAUGCGAUAGAAAACUGAUGAUGCAACUUCAGACAAGAUAGAAUUUUUGUAUAUCAUUAAAACCCAUGCUACCUUUUAAGGGGAUGAAAAAAAACUGCUAAGUUAAAGUAAAAAAAUAUUUUUCGUUAAGUGUGGAUUCUUGCUCACAAAAUUAUUUUUUUAAUUCUUGCUCAUGUUCUUGCUUCAUGGAGAUAUGGAGAUAGUGAUUUAAAAUAUUUAGAUAGUUUUUUUUCAAAUAGAUGGUGCAGACAUUCCUUAAUUUUAUUUAUUUUUAUACAAUUAGAAUAAAGAGUUCAGAGUUUUAGAUAGCAAUAGAUAUAUUAUUUUUCCAUAGAGAAGAUAUUUAUUAUAUAGUUAGGGCUUGAAUGCCAGACCAUGUGUGUUGUUAAUGUUGUAAUAAUCAUUUUAUAAUCCUCAGUAUUAUUUUAUAUGCAUACAUGUAUCAUUUUAAUCAUUUCAUAUUCAGAAGCUCUUAACAGUUAGAUUCAUUCAUGAGUUAACCAAAUAAUCAAUUCAUUUUUUCAGAAUCUAAUGCAUUCAUGAUAAUGUUUUUAAAAACACACACCAAAAAGUCUUUAACAAUGUAAAUUCAACACAAUGUAAUGUUAUUUUCAUUAUUGGGUAUACAGAAUAAAAUUUUCCAUAAUCCUUUAAGAGUCCAAAUAUAAAUGAAUUGAAAAUGUAGAUUACAUUAUUGUGACUUAAUUUGAAAAUUUACUGUUCAUAUUUGUAUCAUACAUGAAGUUAAAUGAAUUUAAAGCUUCAACACUAACAUAUUUGCCCAUCAAGUUUAAAGCUGUGAAAACUUGAACACCCAACAGUUUUUGCCAUGCUGGAGAAGUAAACCAUGGACAUUUUAAAAAUUCUCGUAAUAUGAUUGGAUGCAUUGCAUUCCCUGUUGAAUCUAACUUUGUACAGAUACAUAACUGUAGAUAAAUUCGUGAAUCUUAAAUUAAUCUGAAUUGAGCUCACGAGAGAAAACUGUAAAUGAAUAUUUGUUAGUUAAAUUUUUCAUUUUGGAUAUAUUCUUUGAUUUUGUUCAUCAUCAGCAUUAUUUCAUCAUCAUAUUUUUUUUUAUAGAAUUGAUAAAUUCCGAUUGGUCUCAUUUUUCACCUAAAGUCCAUGAUGAAAAUUUUGUUCAAUUCCCAAUGUUAGUAAGUGAUUGUUGUUAUAGUUCAUAUAUAUUGAUAAAUUUAUUACAAAAUCACAGAUUACUAGAUUGUAUAUUAUGUAAAGCAAACAUUUUGCAGCUGUUACUAAGAAAAUUAUUCCACUUAACUGAUAUUUAUCCAAAAUAGGACAGUUUGAAUUAAGUUUAUCUAGAAAUAGAUGCAAUAUUAAUGACUUCAAAAGUGAUUAGCCAAAUCUUCCUGCAAAAACCAUGUUAAUGUCACACCUAGAUAUAUCAAAGAGGUCACAAAUGUCAGACAUUUUAAAAACAAGGUCAAAUACUGUAUAUAACAAAGUUUAAAAUUACUUUUCUAACAUUGCUUGCUAAAAUUCAGUGAGAUUUACUGGAAAGAAAUUUUCCAAUGGUAAUUGGAGCUUUUAAAUUGAACAAAAGAAUAUCCAAUAUAAGGAAUAACUGUCUCUUUUUUGUACUUGUUUUCCAAAGUUGUGAUUAUUUUUAUGGAUUUGUAAAUUUUGUCUUUUUAUAAGGCCCAUGUACUUACUGUAGGGUGGAAGUACAUGUUUGUAUGAUGUGUUAAUGCUGACCAUACAUUUAACAUUUGUCACUACCUGCGAUAGGACACUUGUAUUUGCUAUGAGUUUAUUCAGGCCAUGCACAUACCAUUUGUCACUACCUGGGAUAGGACACUUGUGUUUGCUAAUCUUUUUGUAUUCUCACAGCUCAGUUUAAUGCUGACUGUGAACUUUUGUUUAUUUUAACCAGGUUUUUUUUUAAAGUAUACUGUGCAGUGAUUGUUGCUUUUUAUUGAUCAGCUUGCAGAAAAUCUCCUUUCUUUUCUUCAUUAUAAUCAUGGCACACUUACCAGAUAUUUUCUAAUUCAUGGUAUAUUGACAAAAAAACAAAAUUUAGGAGCAAUUUUGUUACAAUUGUGAUUUGCAUAUGUCAUAAUUACACAUAUCCUAACAUAUAAAAUAAUUACACAUGAUCAGUUUGAUAUGUUUCAAAAUGCAUUUUAAGUACAGUUGAACCAUUUUAAAUUGGUAACCUUCUGAAAACAAAACACAAAGCAAACUUUAUAAGAGAGAUUACUAGUAAAUAAUGCAUUUACUUUAUAAAGAAAGAUCUAUAAACUAUUCAAUAUUUCAGGAAGUUAGAUAACCAAAGAUUUGACAACACAGACAGAUUUGUCUUAGGGUUGAUUUGAAUACAUGUUGUUGAAUUUGGUCAACAUUUCAUAUUGUAGCUCUUACAACAAAAUUGCUAAGAGUCAUCUUUAUACUUCUAUUAUAUAUGAAAUUAUAUAUUUAAAGUAACAGUUUUGUAAGACUGUAAUAUUGAAACAAAGAUGUUUAAUAUUUAUUUCAUAUGUGACCGUUAAGUAACGGUUAACUCACAUGACCCAAAAAAAAAAAUUCAAAUAUGGAUAAUGUGAACCUCAGUUUGAUUUUACUUUUUGUUCAUUCAAUUUUAAACUGAUGUGAAAAUAAAACAAAUAACAUUUCACCUAAUAAACAUGAGUACAGAAUCAGAUUCUUAUGACAAAAUGAUAGAAAUAGUAAAACAAAUAUAGACCUCAAAUCCUAGACUUCAGAUGAAUAAACUCAACUCAGUUCUCAAAGUACUACAAAUACAACUUUUGUUCGCGAAUCAGCAAAUCCAGUAUUUUGAUUUCUGAGUUCGAGUGCUGUUAUUGUACUUGAAAUUUUUAUGAUUGCAAAGCCUGAUUGCCUCUAUCUCAGGAACUGUAUCAUACUUUGUUGUGUAAGAGUCAUUGAUGAAAUAACUAUGUUAGAAAUUUUUCAGCUUAUGCCUAAAGCCAUACUAUGAGUAUUUGUAUAAUAUAUUUAUUCUACUUUGAUUGCACUAAAAUAAAAGCAAUAUUGUUUGUAUUUAAUGCAAACCAUUUUACAAUAAUAUAUCUCAGUAUGUAAGUGCUGUUGGGAUUAGCAUCCUAUAUAUAAGCUUGUAUGUGACUUUUCAAAGACCGAAAAAUAUAUUUUAAGACCUGAUCUCAGUCUGAUUAACAUCAUUUCUAUUAUUGCCUUUAUUUCUGACAGAUAAGUAUAGAUUAU